GAUUUUUUGUGUUUUUGAUUUUUGUUUUUGGCUUUCUGUUGGUCAGAAUUUCAAAUAGAUGGAGUAAUGCAAAACAGAGUAACGUGCGAAUGCAGAAUCGAAUAUGACAAAGUGAAAAACAUAGAGUGGGAGAUAAUUAUUUGGGUGUGAUCUUGUCAAGUGAGUAAAAAAAAAAAAAAAAAAAAAAAAAUCUCACUCGCUCAACUCAUCCUACAUCCAAACCACACAUAUCUUAUCUUCACUCACCCAUCCUUCCCACCUUUCACUCAAUUUCAUCAUUCAACCCUCUUCACUCGAGCUCACCACUCUUUCACACGACCAACGAAUCCACUCGAACGUUCUCGUCGUUACUAGACGAAGGAACCACGAACAUCAUGUCCUCUUCG
rnacentral:lncRNA from 1 species